AGUGAAGUUGCAUUUGAUAGGGUACCCCAAAGGGCUGCUGCAACCUUAGAAAUGAGGCCCUGUUGGCUUGUCCAGGAUCCAGGGACCACUGAGAACAUUGGUCCCAAUCAUAGGAGUUGAAAAUGGAAAAUCUUUGAAGCACAGAGCUGCGGAAGAGGGGCCAAGCUUAAUGUCUCGCCAAAAAAACAGUAGUUCUUCUGCAUUUGCCAAAGGCAGCAUUCACUGAUAGCAUCAGUACUGUGGUCACAGAGCUUCACCAUCAUCAUCAUUAUCAUCAUCAUCAUCAUUAACAAUUAUAUGUGGAAUGCCAACUGAAUACCCAGCUCUGCACUGACAGAGCAUCACAUGGUCCUUGUUCUCAAGGAGUUUGCAGUCUAAUUUGGAGGCUGGAUGUGAAAAGAUAAGUGGUAGUAUAAAAUAUAAGUCACAGAAAAAUUAACAGACAAUAAACUCACUAAUACAGGG
rnacentral:lncRNA from 1 species